AGUUGGACUUUCAAGGCGUGACCUCAAGCCCAAAAAAGCAUGGAACAAAGUUGGAGUCAUCUGUAUCUUGUCCUGAAAGAAAUGGCGGCUGUGUCCAGACUAAUAACGAAAAUUAUGAAGAGUGUGAAGAAAGAGAGAUCGCUACAGCUCCCGAAGAACGACCCAUAUUUGUAUAAACACCCAGAUCAAUAGGAGAUCCUGAAA